GAUGAACGCUGGCGGCGUGCCUAAUACAUGCAAGUCGAGCGAACGGACGAGAAGCUUGCUUCUCUGAUGUUAGCGGCGGACGGGUGAGUAACACGUGGAUAACCUACCUAUAAGACUGGGAUAACUUCGGGAAACCGGAGCUAAUACCGGAUAAUAUUUUGAACCGCAUGGUUCAAAAGUGAAAGACGGUCUUGCUGUCACUUAUAGAUGGAUCCGCGCUGCAUUAGCUAGUUGGUAAGGUAACGGCUUACCAAGGCAACGAUGCAUAGCCGACCUGAGAGGGUGAUAGGCCACACUGGAACUGAGACACGGUCCAGAAUACUACGGGAGGCAGCAGUAGGGAAUCUUCCGCAAUGGGCGAAAGCCUGACGGAGCAACGCAGCGUGAGUGAUGAAGGUCUUCGGAUCGUAAAACUCUGUUAUUAGGGAAGAACAUAUGUGUAAGUAACUGUGCACAUCUUGACGGUACCUAAUCAGAAAGCCACGGCUAACUACGUG
rnacentral:rRNA from 1 species